rnacentral:rRNA from 1 species
CACGUAGGCACCAAGCGUUGUUCGGAUUCACUGGGCGUAAGGAGCUCGUAGGCGGUCUGUUGCGUCGGCUGUGAAAACCCGGGGCUCAACCCCGGGCCUGCAGCCGAUACGGGCAGACUAGAGUUCGGCAGGGGAGACUGGAAUUCCUGGUGUAGCGGUGAAAUGCGCAGAUAUCAGGAGGAACACCGGUGGCGAAGGCGGGUCUCUGGGCCGAUACUGACGCUGAGGAGCGAAAGCGUGGGGAGCGAACAGG